AUUACGAGUAAAUGCAUUUGUCGGCACUUCAAUGGGUACUGGACCAGUUGGCAAAAAGUUCCAGAAAAUGACAAAGAAAGAAUGUUUAAAGAAUUUCAAUUAAGGAUUUAACUUAUCAACUAUUUAACACAUUGCUAGAACAAAAGAUUGAAUAUUAUAUUUUUAUUUUUGUUGUAGAAAUAUCACUGGUGGGAUGAUGCGAAUGAAUGUGCUUUAAGGAGAAAUUUUUACAGAAGAGCUAGAUCCAGAUUUAACGGUCUGUUGGAUUAUGUCAGAACCAACUUGGUACGACCUGACUGGAUAAGUGAAUCCUUAUGACAACAGUAUAUUCGCUAUUGGAAUGGCGAAGAAUAUCAAUUCUUGAGGGACAAAGAAAAGAAAGCUCGGGCAUCAUCCAAGGGUGACUCUCUACAUACUGCGGGUACAAUUAGUAUGAUUGCAGUGGAGGAAAAAAUGAAAAAAGAAAAGGGUAGGAAGAUACCCUUCGAUGAGGUAUUCGAGGAGACGCAUGUGAAGAAGAAAAAGAACCCGACUAAUGAAGAUGUCUAGGUUAAUCCUAGUGCAAAAGCUGCUCAUGACAAAUAUAUGCAGCUCCUUAGUGAGUUUCGUGGUAGUCAGCCUCCUGAAAGUCAGGGUGACCCAAUACCCCAACAUAUAGAGGAGGAGUUAUGGGAAUAAACUGUGGGUCCUGUAGUUAGAGGUCAUUACUGCGGAUACCACGAAAAUUAUUUUGGCGAGAAUGUUAGGUCUUCAUUCGGUCCUACAUCCUAUACCACUUCAGUUGAUAGAGAAACCGUUGAAUCACUAGAAAAUAUGAUUUCUAAACUCACUGAAGAGCUUGCUACACAGAGAGAGAGGGCAUAAGAAGAAUGAGGAAACAACAUCACAAAUCAGGAUGUUGCAGGAGCAGUUCAGCUCUUUUAUUUAGUCUGCAGGGAUUAUUUCUUCAUGUCCUGGUGAUGCAGUUGGGGCUGCGAAAGGUCUAAACCCAUUAGAUGAUAUCAGUACAGAUGA